rnacentral:rRNA from 1 species
GAUGAACGCUAGCGGCAGGUCUAACACAUGCAAGUCGAGGGAGAGGUUAUCUUCGGGUUACCAAAAGGGGCGCACGGGUGCGUAACGGGAAUACAAUCUUGCCUUUCACAUAGGGGAUAGCCCGAAGAAUUUUGGAUUAAUACCUAAUGGAAAAUAAGAGCGGGAUCUUUUUUAUAUUAAAGCACCGGUGGGGAAAAAUUGCGUAUCCGUUCUAUUAGCUAGUUGGAGAAGGCAACGGGCUCCCCUAGGCCGACGAUAGUUAGCGGGUCCUGAGAAGGGAUGUCCCCCCCACUGGUACUGAGAUACGGACCCGACCUCCUACGGGAGGCAGGAAUGGGGGAUAUUUGGAGAAGGGUUGGGAAGACUUAAUCCAGCCAUGCCGCGUGCGGAUUGAAGGCCCUAGGAAUGUAAACUGGUUUUUGGUAUG